GCAGCCGCCGGAACCUGGGCCCUGCCCUUCCCUGCCUCGCCCUCCCCUCCCCUGCCCUGCCCUUCCCCCACCGGGGUGCCUGCGCAGAGUACGCAGUGAAUGGGUCAGUGAAAGCACAGAGAGAUGCUCGGCCACUGGGUUUAGUGCGAGGUACGCCCAAAUAUCCAAGAAAGAGCUGAAGUCUGGGACGAGGAGGCAGGGCAUCCCUGGGAUUGGAGCUGGCCUCCUCUUCUAGGCAGCGCGCCCCUCCCUGAAAUGGGGGCAAAACUGAGGAAACUCGAUUGCCACAAGCUGCUGAGAAAAGGAGUAAUGCACGGAUUCUUGCUUUGUCAAGUGAACCGAGACAGGGAACGAAGAUCCGAAAGAGGGGAAGCAGGCAGUCUAUGACUGGCAGAGAUGGACGGCCAGCAGCAGCCGGGGACGCCCAUCUGGUGGGCAUGAUGAACUUCAAAGACAGGCACGACUCCUGGCCCUUACUGAGCAUAAACUAUUUGGGGAAGGUGUGUGAGGGGCAGGCCUAAGCAAGGGUAGCCAGGCAGCCGAGCCCUCUGCCUCUGCCAGUGCCCUCCGUCUCUAUACCCUCGACAGAGGAGAGGAUCUGAGGCUUAUGAUUUUACCUACCGCAAUCCCCAAGAAAGGAGGUCGAACUGGUCCUACAGACUCCACCCUGGUUGCCUGUUAAAAUUGCCUGGGAAGCAUUUAUACAAUCCCAGUGACUUACACCUCACCCCAGACUCACUACUCAAUCUCUGAGCAGAGCAGUUUUUUAUCUGGUUUUAAAGCUCUCCAGAUAAUUCUACUGUGCAGUUAAGGCUACGAAAACCUGUCUUAAACUAACCAAGCCUUGGAAAUUCCAAGGUGACUAGACCAGGCAUCUCUCACAUGGACUGAUGCCUGUUCUAACGGUGGUUCAGGCUGAGUGUCCCGUCUCGGCGUGGCCCAAAAGAUGCAGCACACUGCUGUCUGUCCCCACAGGGCACUGAACAAGUAGUUCAAAUACUUGGUUUAAGAUUGUUUCCCAGGGGACACCUAUAGUUUUCCCAGGGACCAGGAGCUGAACUGCUGGCUGCUUGGGAAGGAGAGCUGUAAUCCCAGUACUGAGGGCCUCCUUCCAGGACUGGGACCCACCAUUCGGUGUCCCUGCUCAGCAGAGAGAGGGCUCGUGGGCUGUCAUACAAGGAGGCAGUUGUGGUCGUUGAAAGAAAAUAAGGUGCUUUGUAUGCUUCCUCUUUUCUGUUUCUUGUGAAUCCCUUCCUUACAAACAGCUGUCUCAUUGUUUCCACGAGGUUGGGCAGAGACUAGCUAAGAAAUACUUUCAGCCAAGGCCAGUCUGGCUGAUAAGUUCUGUACAGUGUUAUCAGUCGCUGUCAAGUUACUUUUCUGAGAACUGGGGGAAAGAAAAUACUUUGUUAUGUGAUUCAGGAAGACUUUGUUUUUAAUAGAUUCGAGAUGAGACCUAAGACUGCUUUUCCAUACGUCCUUCCUUCCCGUCCAUAGACGGGGUUCUUACAAGGAAUGAAGACACAGCUCUUUGGAAAUUGACACCAAUGGCAAAACAUUAACGCAUUCCCAACGUCUCCGAGCCACAGGAGUGCAAAAGCACUUGGGGUGAAUUACUGGUUAGACAUCCGCCGAUCUCAGGAUGAUGGAGAAUCCCCGUGGACAUUUCUAACAGGCGUCAGCAAACUUCUGUAAAGCACCAGAUAACGAUCAGAGGGCUGUGGACCAUGGGCCUCUGUCACCACUACUAAACCGUGUCACUGCAGUUCAGAAGCAGCCACGGACAGUAUGGAAGCUGGGCUGCCUGGAUUUGACUGUAUUGCAAUACGGUUUUCUUUACCAAAACAAGCAGGCUGGAUGUGGUGGUUUGCUGACCCCUGUCCUACCAGAGCACAGCUUCCACAGACUGAACUGAGUGAACAUUUAAUGAGUGACAAAUGAAGACAGCAGGACAUGGUAAAAGGCUGAUAAGGAUUUAAUGACAAAUAUUCGAUAUUGGUUGCUGAACACUAGAAUACUGUCCAGGCAACCAUCAUUAAAUAAAACAACCUGAAAAUAAGGCAAUUCUCACAUACACAAGCACACACUCACACAAAACCUGUUACUCUUAGGAUUAUUAAAUUAUUCACGAUUUUAACAAACAGCUGUCAAAUAACAUUACAGUGAAGGAAAAUGUGCACAAACUUCAGAAACACAGCUCAGAUUGUCUGUGAAUACAGGUUCUUCAUUUGUACUUUCACAUAUGUACAGCCUCUUGAUCUUGAAGAGACCACAUGGCUCACGGGGUUAACUUGUCGUCUUCUCCUUCCAACUCGGAGCUCAAGAUUUAAGCCAUUCCAACCUAUUUAAUCUGCCCCAGGUUUUGCUCGGUGAAGGGCAGCCUGCACUUGACCAAACUCCCAGGAAACAAAUGAUACACUUGCCUCCGCUAUCAUUCAUGAGUUGGUGGAAGGAGUCUUUAGAGUCACGUUUUUAAGAAUGAACCAGUUAACAGGGUUUGCUUUAGAAAUACUAUUAUUCUAAAACUAAAUACAAGAAACCACCUCCUGAAUGCAUGUAACCUCACUUUAAUGCAGAUUAUGUUCCCUGAAGAAUUGUAAGAAAAAUGGAAUCACAUUUUAGAUGUACCAUGAGAGUAGGUGUUGAUGGUUGGACUGUUUCCUUCUGCUAAUUAAUGGGUUUGCUCGUGGAAGGGCUACUGAACUAGUAGCCAGCUCUCAUCCACAGUAACAGAAAGAAUGAGGCGCCAAUGAAAUCCAAAGAUUUCUACUGCCACUAAAUUAUUUUGCAUUAGUUUCCACUGAACUUUCUCCAAAGCUACUAAUAUG